rnacentral:lncRNA from 1 species
UUUUGGUGGGAUUUGGCUGGCUUCUUUACCACAUGUUGUUUUAUCAGCAAGAUCUUUGUGACCUGUACCUUGUGCAGACGUACUAUCUCACCCUGUGGUUUAGGAUGCCUUAACCUUCUGGGAAUGCAGCCCAAGACCCUCCUGGAUGACUUCCUUCUCACGUACACUGUCUUCAUGACAACUGAUGACUUGUGCCAGGCUCUGUUAAGGCAAUAUCCUUCAUUAUCUUCAGGCUGCUGUGUCCACUUCCUCUCAGACAGAUGUCCCACGUUAGGAAUUAACUGCCUUCCUUAAUUUAUUCAACCCCAUAGUAGAAUGUGGAUAUGUUAAAUAUUAAUGUAAUGAUAUCCAAGGUAGAAGAUGAAAUGAGACAGACAGGGGAAACUGGAAAUGUGAACAGCUGUUUUCACAUUCUAUGUUGUGGCUAUAUUACACUGUUUAUAUUAUGUUCGCUUCACAUCUGUGCCUCAUGAUUGCUUAGAAAUCUGGAGGCAAAAUUGGCCUGCUGGGUAAACCCCAGAGUCAAGAGAUUGUGUGGAAUGGGAAGAUCAUGGAAUAAAUGGACUUAAAGGAGAAUCAAAGUAUCAAGGCAAAGAGGAAAACUCAGACGUUCCGCGUAGGAAACGUAAAGUCUUGCAUCUUGUUUCCCAGUGGAUUGCUCUGUACAAAGACUGGUUACCUGAAGAUGAACAUUCAAAAAUGUUUUUAAAGACCAUAUAUAGGAAUGUACUGGAUGAUGUUUAUGAAUAUCCAAUACUUGAAAAAGAAUUGAAAGAAUUUCAAAAGAUACUUGGAAUGCACCGUCGUCACACUGUAGAUGAAUAUUCACCAC